rnacentral:lncRNA from 1 species
AGAUGGAACACGUCCCACAGGCACUAAAGCGGAUGUUUUCUGCAUUUGGUGUGGGAUCCUUAUGUGAGGGAGUCUGCACUGUGGGCUUCACAAUUUUGGCAACAGACUGUGAAAAAACCACCCCUGAACUUUACUACUUAUCUGUGCUGCUGUCAGUGAGCAGCUUGGCUUCUACAGUGCUUCUCUCAGGCCUGGGGCUCAAUUGGCUGGCCAGUGUGACCUGUACAAGGCCAGAUGCCAACCAACAGUCUAAAGCUGCAUUGGGGCCCUGCUGAUCUCCUGCUGCAGAUGCACAUCUUUGGUACCAAGCCUCCCGGUGUGUGUCACAGCAGCCCUGCCACCUGACAGCAAGCACACCCCCAUCUCUCAUGAACAAACAUCUCUCACCACUAUUUCUAGAUGAAGGUUCAGCUGUACCUUAGAGCCAACAGGAAGCACGUUAAAACCGGCCAUUUGGAAGAAAGCUGUCUUUAAGCAUUAACAACCACUGACAAGAGGAACAAUUCAACUGAAAUCACACAAUUGACUUUAUAACCAAAUUCACUCCAAGGAAGGAUCUCUUAUUAAAUACUUCAAGAUCGUUAUUUUGACUUUCUGAACAUCCUUUUUGUGUUUCAAUGGAGUUAGUAUUAUAAGCUAGAUGACUGCUACAGAUACAUAUACCUAAAAGGAAGGAAAUAUGUAAACCUUGGUAAUGAACAAAAGUUUAAU